rnacentral:rRNA from 1 species
AGGGCGCAUGAGAAACGGCUACCACAUCUAAGGAAGGCAGCAGGCGCGAAAAUUACCCAAUACUAAUACAGUGAGGUAGUAACAAUAAAUAACACAGCCCAGCAUUUCAUGUUGGGCUUUUGGAAUGAGAACAAUUUAAAUCCAUUAUCGAGGAUCAAUUGGAGGGCAAGUCUGGUGCCAGCAGCCGCGGUAAUUCCAGCUCCAAUAGCGUAUAUUAAAGUUGCUGCAGUUAAAAAGCUCGUAGUUGGAUUUCUAGCGAGGCACGAGAAUAUCCACCUAUGGUGAAUACUUCUCUCGCCUUGCUCUUCUUUAGUUGAUGUCUCUGGCAUUAAGUUGUCGGAGUCCUGAGACUAAUCGUUUACUGUGAGAAAAUUAGAGUGUUCAAAGCAGGCUUAUGCCGUUGAAUAUAUUAGCAUGGAAUAAUAAGAUAGGACUUCGGUACUAUUUUGUUGGUUUGCGUACUGAUGUAAUGAUAAAUAGGGACUGGCGUGGGUAUUCGUAUUUUAAUGUCAGAGGUGAAAUUCUUAGAUUAUUGAAAGACGGACGACUGCGAAAGCAUCUACCAAGUAUGUUUUCAUUAAUCAAGAACGAAAGUAUGGGGAUCGAAGAUGAUUAGAUACCAUCGUAGUCUAUACCAUAAACUAUG